rnacentral:tRNA from 1 species
GGCAGGAUGGCGCAGUCCGGUAGCGCGCUUGGCUCAUAACCAAGAGACCGCAGGUUCAAAUCCUGCUCCCGCAA